rnacentral:rRNA from 3 species
AUUCAGAGAUGGAUUUGUGCCUUCGGGAACCGUGAGACAGGUGCUGCAUGGCUGUCGUCAGCUCGUGUUGUGAAAUGUUGGGUUAAGUCCCGCAACGAGCGCAACCCUUAUCCUUUGUUGCCAGCGGUCAGGCCGGGAACUCAAAGGAGACUGCCAGUGAUAAACUGGAGGAAGGUGGGGAUGACGUCAAGUCAUCAUGGCCCUUACGACCAGGGCUACACACGUGCUACAAUGGCGCAUACAAAGAGAAGCGACCUCGCGAGAGCAAGCGGACCUCAUAAAGUGCGUCGUAGUCCGGAUUGGAGUCUGCAACUCGACUCCAUGAAGUCGGAAUCGCUAGUAAUCGUGGAUCAGAAUGCCACGGUGAAUACGUUCCCGGGCCUUGUACACACCGCCCGUCACACCAUGGGAGUGGGUUGCAAAAGAAGUAGGUAGCUUAACCUUCGGGAGGGCGCUUACCACUUUGUGAUUCAUGACUGGGGUGAAGUCGUAACAAGGUAACCGUAGGGGAACCUGCGGUUGGAUCACCUCCUUACCUUAAAGAAGC